rnacentral:rRNA from 1 species
UACGAAGGGGGCUAGCGUUGUUCGGAAUUACUGGGCGUAAAGCGCACGUAGGCGGACUAUUAAGUCAGGGGUGAAAUCCCGGGGCUCAACCCCGGAACUGCCUUUGAUACUGGUAGACUCGAGUCCGGAAGAGGUGAGUGGAAUUCCGAGUGUAGAGGUGAAAUUCGUAGAUAUUCGGAGGAACACCAGUGGCGAAGGCGGCUCACUGGUCCGGUACUGACGCUGAGGUGCGAAAGCGUGGGGAGCAAACAGG